rnacentral:rRNA from 1 species
UACGUAGGGUGCGAGCGUUGUCCGGAAUUACUGGGCGUAAAGAGCUCGUAGGUGGUUUGUCGCGUUGUUCGUGAAAACUCACAGCUUAACUGUGGGCGUGCGGGCGAUACGGGCAGACUGGAGUACUGCAGGGGAGACUGGAAUUCCCGGUGUAGCGGUGAAAUGCGCAGAUAUCGGGAGGAACACCGGUGGCGAAGGCGGUUCUCUGGGCCUUACCUGACGCUGAGGAGCGAAAGCGUGGGGAGCGAACAGG